GGUGGCUCAGUGGUAGAGUGGGUGCCUUGCAUGCCUCAGGCUCUAGGUUCGAUUCCUCGACACCA
rnacentral:tRNA from 1 species